rnacentral:lncRNA from 13 species
CGAAAGAGAAACCAGAGACCUAGGGAGUCUCUUGGUACUGAAGAAAUUCAAAUGUUCCAUGACUAUUAGUCCUGAAGUCAAAUUGAGCAGGCAGAGCAUUUUCUUCACAAUGUAGGCUAAAGCUACAUUUUUGUCUGGGAGGUCUAAUUAAUUAAAUUUUUCGAAUUAUUUUCUGUUAGAAAAAUGUAGACUAUAUUUAAUUUAUCACCACAUUAUAUUGUGAAGCAGAUCCCACAUUCAACGUAACUGAGGAUUUGCAUUUAACAAAAUAUGUUAACCUAUUAUAACUGUUUAUGUUCCUUUACAUAACAUUUAAAAAAAAAAAAUAAUUUUGGGCAAAUUGCACAAAUACAUAUAGGCCUAAUAUUCUACAAUAUUAUUUGAAACAUUAGUGAGUGACAAAAGGUUGAUGCAGGCAGAGGUAGUGUUUAGCUAUAGCCACAUCUAGCAGAGUGCCGCAUAUCCUUUCUUCCUCCCGAGAGACAUUUCAAAGCUCAUUAAUCAAAAACUCGUUGCUUUUAGACUCCGCACUGAUUUCCCCUCCUUGUGAACAAAGCAUUUGCAUUCCAAAUUCUAGAAACACAUUUCAAACUGAGAGGCCAAACUUUGGUAGAUGUCUAAAGAGCACACUGAGCCCUGGCUUAAAGAAUACCCACACGUGAGAGAGAGAGAGAGACAAGAGUGUGCUGAGGCAACGAAUCUGAGCCAUCGAAGGAAGGUACCAUUACAGGCGUCGAGAGAAAAUUCCAUCCAACUGUGACUAAGUGUAAGAGUGGGAUUUCAUGACUUCUAUCAUGAUGCAGCUAAGAGCUCCAGCUACAGUCCAGCUACAGUCCAGCUACAGUACAGCUACACUCCAGCUACAGUCCAGCUACAGUCCAGCUCCAGCUCCAGCUACAGUCCAGCUACAGUCCAGAUAGAGCUCCAGCUACAGUACAGCUACAGUCCAGCUACAGCUCCAGCUACAGUCCAGCCACAGUCAGGCUACAGUCCAGCUACAGUCCAGCUACAGUCCAGGUACAGUCCAGCUACAGU